UGAGAUGCUGGUGCUGGUGUACUCGCCGGCUGGCGCCGCGCGAUCGUGGGCUCCCGGGGGUCGCGGUGAGCCCGGGUCCGGCCCCACGGAGGGAACCGCAGACUGAAGUAGUUAUCUUAAAGCGCCUAAGCUCUUGUCAACUGGCCUCCAACCGCAGAGCAAAACCAUAAUCCCGCCCAAGACAGUGAGAUAGAAGAAGUUCACACAGACUGAAGAUAACGAAACACAAAACCAUUACAGAUAGCCAUCAAAAUGCAUAUUGAAACAAGCAGAUCUUUUUUCUCACUCUUUAGAAAGAAGCUGGGCAUUUUCCCGAAACCUGAGAAAAUGAAUCCCCACUUCUCCCGCUUUGCCAAUAUUCCACUACAAUAAGUUAAUUUCAAGCAA